rnacentral:rRNA from 1 species
AUUGAACGCUGGCGGAAUGCUUUACACAUGCAAGUCGAACGGUAGAGGGGGCAACCCCUCGAGAAUGGCGAACGGGUGAGUAAUAUAUCGGAACGUGCCCAGUCGUGGGGGAUAACGUAGCGAAAGUUACGCUAAUACCGCAUACGAUCUAAGGAUGAAAGCGGGGGAUCGCAAGACCUCGCGCGAUUGGAGCGGCCGAUAUCAGAUUAGGUAGUUGGUGGGGUAAAGGCUCACCAAGCCAACGAUCUGUAGCUGGUCUGAGAGGACGACCAGCCACACUGGAAAUGCGACACGGUCCAGACUCCUACGGGAGGCAGCAGUGGGGAAUUUUGGACAAUGGACGCAAGUCUGAUCCAGCCAUUCCGCGUGCAGGAUGAAGGCCCUCGGGUUGUAAACUGCUUUUGUACGGAACUAAAAGGUCUCUCUUAAUACGGGGGACUCAUGACGGUACCGUAAGAAUAAGCACCGGCUAACUACGUGCCAGCCGCCGCGGUAA